UACGUAGGGGGCAAGCGUUGUCCGGAAUUAUUGGGCGUAAAGAGCGCGUAGGCGGUCCGAUAAGUCGGCUGUGAAAGUCAAGGGCUCAACCCUUGGAAGCCGGCCGAUACUGUCGGACUAGAGUCCGGAAGAGGAGCGUGGAAUUCCUGGUGUAGCGGUGAAAUGCGCAGAUAUCAGGAGGAACACCAAUGGCGAAGGCAGCACUCUGGGGCGUGACUGACGCUGAGACGCGAAAGCGUGGGGAGCAAACAGG
rnacentral:rRNA from 1 species